UUCACCUGUUUAUCAAAACAUGGCUUAUUGAUAAUAAUUUUAAGUCAAUCUGCUCAAUGAUUUUAUAAUUAAAUGGCUGCAGUAUAAUUAACUGUACAAAGGUAGCAUAAUAAAUUGUCUUUUAAUUGAAGACUGGAAUGAAAGAAUUAAUGAGAUAUAUACUGUCUCAUAUAUAUUAAAUGAAUUUAAAUUUUUAGUAAAAAUGCUUAAAUAAUUUUAUGGGACGAUAAGACCCUAUAGAAUUUUAUAUUAAUAUUUUAUUAAUUAUUUAAUUAAAUAUUAAUAUUUAAUUGGGAGGAUUAGUAAAUAAGAAAAACUUUAUUUUUAAAAUAAACUUUGAUUUUAGAAUAUAUUUUUGAUCUUUUAUUAUAAAUCAAAAGAAUAAAUUACCUUAGGGAUAACAGCGUUAUAUCUUUUUAAAGAUCAUAUUAAUAAAGAUGUUUGCGACCUCGAUGUUGAAUUAAGAUAAAUUUUAAAUGAAGAAGUUUAAAAAUUAAGUCUGUUCGACUUUUAAAAUCUUACAUGAUUUGAGUUCAAAUCGACGUGAGUCAGGUUGGUUUCUAUC
rnacentral:rRNA from 1 species